UUGAACAUGAUGUGAUUACUUAUCAACCGUGUUUCAGCUGAAUUCUCCAUUGAUUACAAAUUGAUAACCUGAUUAU
rnacentral:snoRNA from 1 species